GAUGAACGCUGGCGGCGUGCCUAAUACAUGCAAGUCGAGCGAACGGACGAGAAGCUUGCUUCUCUGAUGUUAGCGGCGGACGGGUGAGUAACACGUGGAUAACCUACCUAUAAGACUGGGAUAACUUCGGGAAACCGUAGCUAAUACCGGAUAAUAUUUUGAACCGCAUGGUUCAAAAGUGAAAGACGGUCUUGCUGUCACUUAUAGAUGGAUCCGCGCUGCAUUAGCUAGUUGGUAAGGUAACGGCUUACCAAGGCAACGAUGCAUAGCCGACCUGAGAGGGUGAUCAGCCACACUGGAACUGAGACACGGUCCAGACUCCUACGGGAGGCAGCAGUAGGGAAUCUUCCGCAAUGAGCGAAAGCCUGACGGAGCAACGCCGCGUGAGUGAUGAAGGUCUUCGGAUCGUAAAACUCUGUUAUUAGGGAAGAACAUAUGUGUAAGUAACUGUGCACAUCUUGACGGUACCUAAUCAGAAAGCCACGGCUAACUACGUG
rnacentral:rRNA from 1 species